AUUGAACGCUGGCGGCAGGCCUAACACAUGCAAGUCGAGCGGAGCGGCGGACGGGUGAGUAAUGCCUAGGAAUCUGCCUGGUAGUGGGGGAUAACGUCCGGAAACGGGCGCUAAUACCGCAUACUAUCAGAUGAGCCUAGGUCGGUUUAGCUAGUUGGUGGGGUAAAGGCCGACCAAGGCGACGAUCCGUAACUGGUCUGAGAGGAUGAUCAGUCACACGGGAAGUUGGACACGGUCCGGCCUCCUCCGGGAGGCAGCAGUGGGGAAUAUUGGACAAUGGGCGAAAGCCUGAUCCAGCAAUGCCGCGUGGGUAAAGAAGGUCUUCGGAUUUUAAAGUACUUUAAGUUGGGAGGCGUUACCUACAGAAUAAGCAACGGCUAACUUCGUGCCAGCCGCCGCGGUAAUAC
rnacentral:rRNA from 1 species